ACGGAAGGCAGCAGUGAGGAAUAUUGGUCAAUGGGCGGGAGCCUGAACCAGCCAAGUAGCGUGAGGGAUGACUGCCCUACGGGUUGUAAACCUCUUUUGUUUGGGAAUAAAGGAGCCUACGUGUAGGCUUUUGUAUGUACCUUUCGAAUAAGCAUCGGCUAAUUCCGUGCCAGCAGCCGCGGUAAUACGGAAGAUGCGAGCGUUAUCUGGAUUUAUUGGGUUUAAAGGGAGCGUAGGCGGCCUUUUAAGUCUGCGGUCAAAUGUCAGGGCCCAACCUUGGCAUGCCGUGGAUACUGAUGGGCUUGAAUACACGCAAGGCAAGUGGAAUUCGUCGUGUAGCGGUGAAAUGCUUAGAUAUGACGAAGAACUCCGAUUGCGAAGGCAGCUUGCUGGUGUGCGAUUGACGCUGAGGCUCGAAAGUGCGGGAAUCAAACAGGAUUAGAUACCCUGGUA
rnacentral:rRNA from 1 species